GACGAACGCUGGCGGCGUGCUUAACACAUGCAAGUCGAACGGAAAGGCCCCUUUGGGGGUACUCGAGUGGCGAACGGGUGAGUAACACGUGAGUAACCUGCCCUUGACUUCGGGAUAACUUCAGGAAACUGGGGCUAAUACCGGAUAGGAAUCCUUGCUGCAUGGGGGGGGUUGGAAAGCUUCGGCGGUUUUGGAUGGACUCGCGGCUUAUCAGCUUGUUGGUGGGGUAGUGGCUUACCAAGGCUUUGACGGGUAGCCGGCCUGAGAGGGCGACCGGCCACAUUGGGACUGAGAUACGGCCCAGACUCCUACGGGAGGCAGCAGGGGGGAAUAUUGCACAAUGGGCGGAAGCCUGAUGCAGCAACGCCGCGUGCGGGAUGACGGCCUUCGGGUUGUAAACCGCUUUCAGCAGGGGCGAAGCUUGUGGUGACGGUACCUGCAGAAGAAGCACCGGCUAACUACGUG
rnacentral:rRNA from 1 species